rnacentral:lncRNA from 1 species
AAUCAGGAAAAUUCACACCAUUCAACUCGCCAUGCCACAUACAUUAAGAAUCCAACAACAAUUCAUGCAAAAACAACAAGAUAAACACGGAUCGAAGAGAAUCAAAAAUCAACAUCCAAACUUGAAAUGCAUGGAUCUUUGUGAAUAUAGCACCAAAUCACUCCAAACUUGUACCAGAAUUACCACCAUUCAAUGAUCUACACAAUAGGCAUAAUGAAUUGGAGAAUUAAAGAGGUCGAAAAACCAACCUCUUGAUUAACAGAAUUGAA